GUCGUUGUAGUAUAGUGGUGAGUAUUCCCUCUUGUCAUGCAGGUGACCCGGGUUCGACCCCCGGCAACGGCG
rnacentral:tRNA from 1 species